GGCAGAGCAGGAAGUGUGAUGCUGUGACAGUAGAGAAGGAAGUGGUGACACAAUGGCACCAUGUUUGCUGGUGGGACUGGUAACAUGAGAGGGCCUCGGAUGAAGACCCCCCUGCUGCUGCUGCUGCUGCUGCUGCUGACCACCCGGACCGGGACAGAAACACCCGAGUCUGUUUCCGAUGCCACUGAAGAACCGAAGCCCGAAGAGUACAAUGAAAACACAGAUGCAGAAGGUACAGGCUCGGGAAGCCGCCCCCCUCUCAAUGAGAGCUCCGACCCAACAGAGGGCCGCAACGGUACCGGUCGAGGCGCUGCACCGGGGCAGGAAGAGGGAGAGGAGCAGUGGAAGGAGGAGGAGGAGGAGGAGGGUUUGAGUCUCAUCAUCAUCCUGAUCCCCGCGGUGCUGGCUGUCAUCAUCAUCGGCAUGGUAGUCGGCGGCAUUUUCAUCAACCGCAGGUGGAAUCAAAAAGCGAGGAAUCAAGAGCUGAGAAAAGAGGAUCCAUAUUUGGAUGGGUCCAGUUCAGAGAAGGUGCCAAUGCCCAUGUUUGAAGAAGACGUGCCCUCUGUGCUAGAGCUGGAAAUGGAAGAGUUGGACCAAUGGAUGAAAAAGGAUUGUGGGUGAAAGCAUGCAAGACAUUAAACUGACCCUUCAGAGGACUCUAAACUUGCAUGAAUCCAUUUGUGGAAGCGCUCCAGGAUUACAUGAACACACAACCCACUGUGACGACCAGGCCACAGCAUCACAACACUUAAUAGACACUAGCAAACAAAGAAAUCAUCAUUGCAACGCAUUCUCCCAGAAAGUAUUUAGUGGACAACCAUUGCAGUUACAGAUGUUAAAUAAGUGGCUCUUUGAUCAGAGCCUUUCACGUAGCGCUGUGUUGCAGGAAAUUACAUUUAUCUGCUGUUUGCUUUUGUCCAAAAGCUACUGAAUAGUAAGUGCAAGAGUUAAGCUGUUACAUUGACUUAAAAUGCUCGUCCUACAUUUAGAGAAAAUAAACAGAGUAGAAUAUUUGUAUUUUAUUGGCCACGGUGGUUUCUCUCGCCGCUGAUCCUGCUUUCAUUGCCCGUUAAACCAUGGGGUGGGGGGGGGGGGGGGGGGGGAAGUUGUCCGUCGUGAUCCACGCCAAUGCACCGUAUUUGCCGCCCGAAAUCAAUCAAACAUGGUGUAAAAGGAUUUGACUUAAAAGAAAUCCCAGUGCUUCCCCUUAUCUGCAGGUUCAUGCGCGUCAAAGGAGUGCGUGGUCGUCCCGAAGCGCGUCAGGCCGAUGCCCGCCUUCGCCACAGAAACGGCCCUCUGGUAGUUUCUGCUGAUGGCUUCUCUUUCGGGCUCAAAGCCCCUUUGUUGUAUUACACUGCGUGACUCCCUCCAGCUGCAGGUUUUAAUGGGGAAAUAUCCUGUUGAAGAUUGCAGGCAUGCAUGACAGAGGAGGCCACUCCUUUUCGUUGCCUGUGCUGAGCUGGGUAGGAAUCCUGGAGAAAGCGUUUUGCAUGAAAUUGUGUGAAAAAGUGCCUCGUGAGCACAUGCACUCGCUUUUUGAGUCUUUUCAUGAAUUAUUACCUGGUGCUGAGGCAGCUUUCAGAAAGCUGCUACUGAUACAAUUCUCAUCUCCCCGUCAGUAGAUAAUAACUGUAAUAACUGUUUUGCUUCCCGUUUGGGAUUAAAAGUAUCUUCCAAGCAGUCAAGACACAUUGACGGGGCCACUUUCUAUUAGUCAGUAUUUUGCAUUAUCUUGCACUAUUGAGAAUACAGUAUGAACAAUAUGAGAAUACAGUAUGAACAAUAUGAGAAUACAGUAUGAACAAUAUGAGAAUACAGUAUGAACAAUAUGAGAAUACAGUAUGAACAAUGUGAGAAUACAGUAUGAACAAUAUGAGAAUACAGUAUGCCAAAGGAUCUUAUUUUCAGCAAAGGCCUUUUGUAAAUAUUUUAUAUGAGGCGGUUGUCUUGUUGUUCUGCUGAUGAAGCUUUACACAAAAUUUCAUCAAAUAAAAUCUCUUGAUAA